AGCAUGGAGUGUCUCAUCCAUGUAACUCUGAUACAUGUAAGAAUACUCCUCCAAGCUCCUCAGAUUCAAUGGUGAAUAUACAGUUCAAGUGGAUUUCCUCUGAUUUUACCACAAGAGUAGUGAAAGUCUGCAGAAACCUGUUAGAGGCUGCUACACAGAUUGUUAAUCUAGAACAAGUGAUUGACAGAAGAGUAAAAAUCUUCGAUGCUUUGCUGUAUGCACAAGUGAAAAUUCCACUGAGUGAUCAGAUUCUUGAUGACUUAUGUGGAUUGCUGUCUCUGCCCUGGAUUUACAGCCAUCCUGAUGAUUCUUCUUUUAAGCCAUCUAUCUGGGGGUUGGUCCUCUAGUUUUGAAUCAAAAAACUGCACAGAGUUUCUCACCCCAAACUCAGUCACACUGUGUGUUCCUUCUGUCUCUCUUCCCAAGAAACAUUCAUCUGGAUUGGAGAAAAUCAGUUUGUCACUGGGCAUUACAAAGUCACCAUGAAGUAAUUCGGGCUACUUGUGUUAAAGGAUUCUCUCUGCUGCUUCAUCCUGUGCAGUCCUGCAGCAUGAUUCCCAGAGCUCUGUUGUAUGUACUAAUGCAGCUUUUCUGUCUCUGUGCAAGAAGAAUAAUGGGCAAAUAAUAAAUGGAGUAUAAGCACAAAAAUGAAUGUUCAUUUCAUAUGAAAUUUGCUGGAUCUUAAUUUCAGAAAUCAUCAGAUAGCAACAGGAUAGGUGCACAUGAUGAUGUCUGUGUGCCAGACUAGUGUUCACUUACUGUGUCAGUGUACAAGUUCCUUUGGUAGCUGAAGACCCCAGUUUAAUACAGGGCAGGGAGGGGAGAUACCUUGGUCAGUGGAAUCCAUGUUGUAUUUUUCCAUGUCUCUUAAAAUCUUUGCAGCUUCUCUGCCAGAGACAUGAUGUAGCCUUAGUGGUACUGGCCCAGCUGUAAGAUUAUGAGUUUAUUUUUUUAUUAUUAUUAUUGUUUUGUUCAGUUUUAUUGACUUUCGGGGGGUCUUUUGGAAUACUGAAGUUCUGUUCAGCAAAAACACCAGAAUGGUGUGUGCAGUCAUGAUU